UUUGCUUUCUUUUUAUCUCCAACUGGUAUAGCUCUGUCGUGUGGGGGAAGCACUGAAAGCAGAAAAGGAUGGUGGAAUCCCACAAAGAUGUCUUUCUUACGUUGGACUGAGAAGUAAAGGAGCCACACCUUACAAUUCAUACACAAAUGAUGAUGUCUCCCUACUUAACACAGAACACUAUUCCGUCUCUUCCAGGGCUUUGGAGCUGUGCUCCGGCUCAGCUGCAGCUCCAGGCAAAAACCUGCAGCUCCAUUGCUCCACGCUCCAGGCUCUGCUCCAAAGCCCUGCUCUUACCAACAUCUUGUAUCAAGAUCACUGGAUAGGAGAAGUGCCAGAAAAUUCCAAGUAUGACUACAGUAUGUUACUGUAAAGAGUGAAAUCGUACAUCAAAUAAUUAGAGAGAAAACGAAUAUUGCCAAAAUAAACCAAGAGUACAUUUUGAGAUGCA